AUGUUAACACACAAAGCACAUAGACUCAUAGACUCAUCCGUGGCGUUUGAACCUGAGCUUCUCACUUAUGUUUCCACGCUUCUCUCUCUUGCAUCUUCUCAAUUCAAAUGCUCUUAACGAAACAAGAAUCACGAGACACUCUGAAAUCGAAGCUCCAUCACCAUCACCACACUUUUAAUCAAACUCGAUUUCAACAUCACCUUUAACGAAUCAGAAGUGCGACAUCCAAAAUGUAUUCGAUUUGUAUGGAUGUGGUGAAUUGAGAAGAGAACAUGGAUCUUGAGGAUUGCGCUUACACAAAUGAUUGAAGAAGGAGACAUAAAAGUAACUUACCAAUGCGGUGGCUCUCCGGCGUUAAUAGGUUUUGCAAUUGGCAUGGACACUUGAGGAUUAAGAUGACUUAAGGACUCAAGGGAAAAUGGUUGACUUUGGUCAUCUAGUUGAUCAGAAAGUCAACAGUUGACCAAAAAACCAAUAGUUGACCAAAAAAUCAAUAGUUGACCAAAGUCAACUGUAGGUUAGAAACUAGGGUUUUGUAUUGUUUGAUGUAUAUGUAAGGACUAGUUUAAAUUACUUGUAAGGUAAAUAAGGUUUUUAAUGAAUAUGUCAAGGUUUAAAUGAAACAAUGAUUUAUGUGA